UAAACUUGGCACAGCAGGAUGUCCCCAGAGCAGGUUGUCAGGUGGAAAUAGCUGCCACCAUUUCAUGCACCCCAGCAGACCUUGGGUAAUUUCUGCAGAGGGAGGCUUUGCUUUGCUGCUGUGGGUGUUGCUUUAGGGGAAGGUGUCCUGCACAUGGAUGACCACUGGCCACUGUUGCACAUGCAGCAUCACCCCUCUCUGGGCAGACACGUCUUCCUCUUCAGUGAGUGUUUUU
rnacentral:lncRNA from 12 species